rnacentral:tRNA from 1 species
CGCGGGGUGGAGCAGCUGGCAGCUCGUUGGGCUCAUAACCCAAAGGUCGGAGGUUCGAAUCCUCCCCCCGCAACCA